rnacentral:lncRNA from 1 species
AGAUCAACUUAAGUUUUUUGGACUUGGACUUGACACUUGAAGUUGAGAAACUUGCCGAUCUUAUUGAUGAGACCAAUGCUAAUGAAAGAUCUUUCCAUAAGGCUUGGGAAAUGUCAAACAAAUUAAGCCCAAUGCGGAUGACCUUAGCAAAGAAUAUCAAGUCUAUAAUCCUAAAACUGAUAUUGUUAAGGAAUAUAUGAAGUUUGUGGAAGAACGUUCUCAAACAGCUGACAAAUCACUUGCUGGCACACUGAUGGGUACCUUAACCACCAUGAAAUUUGAUGGUUCUCAUAUUAUACGUGAGUAUGUUACCGAAAUGAGUCAUACUGUAGCAAUACUGAAGACUCUUGGGAUGAUUGUGGAUGAGAACUUUCUUGUACAGUUUAUCAUCAACUCAUUGCCUUCUGAGUAUGAUUCGUUCCAUAUGAACUACAACACCUUAAAGAAUAAAUGGAAUGUGAAUGAAUUACACGGUAUGCUCGUGUGGGAGGAGAGAAGGCUUAAGAAUCAAGAAACUCAUUCUGCUCAUCUCGUAAGUCAUCAAAGAGCUGGAAAGAAAUAUAAAAAAUGUCUGGAAAGGGCAUUAAGUAAGAACCACUAAAGAUAAAUGGGUCUUUUUGCCCAAAUCCAUAAUAAAGAACACAAGACGUGUCAUUUCUAUUGUAAGCCUGGGCACCAUAAAAGGGAUGGCCUCAAACGUAAGGCAUGGUUCGAAAGUAAAGGUAAGAUUAUUUCUUAUGUAUGUUUCUAAUUUAAUUCGACAAAAGUUCCUUAUAAUACUUGGUGGAUUGAUUUCGGAUGUACCACUCAUGUUAUUAAUACGAUGCUGGGAUUCUUGUCAACAGACUAUAUAUCCAAAGGAAACGUUUGUUCUCAUGGAAAAUCGAGUCAAAGCUCCAGUUGAAGCCAUUGAAACUUAUCGUUUGAUUUUAGACACUGGACAUCAUUUAGAUUUGUUUCAAACUCUUUAUGUACCUUAUAUUUCUCAUAAUUUAGUUUCAUUAUCGAAACUUGAUUCUGG